CUUAGAGUUUGAUCCUGGCUCAGGAUGAACGCUGGCGGCGUGCCUAACACAUGCAAGUCGAACGAGCAAAUACAUUUGAUUUCUUCGGAAUGAAGAUGUAGGCGCGAGUGGCGGACGGGUGAGUAACGCGUGAGUAAUCUGCCUCAUACAGGAGAAUAACACUAAGAAAUUGGUGCUAAUACUCCAUAAGCUCACAUUAUGACAUCAUAGAGUGAGAAAAGAUUUAUCGGUAUGAGAGGAGCUCGCGUCUGAUUAGCUAGUUGGUGGGGUAACGGCCUACCAAGGCAACGAUCAGUAGCCGACCUGAGAGGGUGAUCGGCCACAUUGGAACUGAGACACGGUCCAAACUCCUACGGGAGGCAGCAGUGGGGAGUAUUGCACAAUGGGGGAAACCCUGAUGCAGCAACGCCGCGUGAAGGAAGAAGUAUUUCGGUAUGUAAACUUCUAUCGACAGGGAAGAAACAAAUGACGGUACCUGAAUAAGAAGCACCGGCUAAAUACGUGCCAGCAGCCGCGGUAAUACGUAUGGUGCAAGCGUUAUCCGGAUUUACUGGGUGUAAAGGGUGAGUAGGCGGUCAUGCAAGUCAUAUGUGAAAUGUCAGGGCUUAACCUUGGCGCUGCAUAAGAAACUGUAUGACUAGAGUGCAGGAGAGGUAAGCGGAAUUCCUAGUGUAGCGGUGAAAUGCGUAGAUAUUAGGAAGAACACCGGUGGCGAAGGCGGCUUACUGGACUGUUACUGACGCUGAGUCACGAAAGCGUGGGGAGCAAACAGGAUUAGAUACCCUAGUAGUCCACGCCGUAAACGAUGGUCACUAAGUGUCGGGGGUCAAACCCCGGUGCUGCAGUCAACGCAAUAAGUGACCCGCCUGAGUAGUACGUUCGCAAGAAUGAA
rnacentral:rRNA from 1 species